CAAUACCUGAAUCAGGAAAACAUUGUCUUUUAAACUUAACUGCUAGAAAAGUACAUUAAUAACUUGACUCGAGUUUUGCAUUUCCCUGAAAUUUUAGAGUCACUUUAUAUAUUAAUUUUUACCCGUUAAUGCACUGCUUACGCGUUCUGAUUAAAAAUGGAACAUUUAAAUUUGUUUUUAACGUAUUUAGAAACACUAUCUGUAAUGAAGGAUCUACCAAGAGAUUUCUGGAUAAUCUCACAUGCGUGGGAUUCUUCCAGAAACACAAAGCGUAGUAAAGGAGGCAGUAAACACUUUUCAGCAGUUAGUGUCGAUUUGGCCAGGUCAAAUUUACAAAUAAGAGGCAAUUUACGGAUUGAAGUGCAUAUUUCAACUUUAAGAUAAUAAUUGCUAGAAUUGAAGUUUCAGUGGCUAGAAAUGAGUUUCACUUAUUUCAAGAAAAUUAGUUGAGUCGCCUUGAUCUGGAAAUUAUAACGUAAUGACUUGCAGAUGCGAAUACAUGCCUCCACUGAGCUAGCUUAAAGUGGAGUUGUCAUUUUAGCAGGGUCCUCGGGGAAACUGGAAUAGUGAAAAAACGGUACGGACGGCACAUAUAUUUGAGCUUAUUUUCAGAUUUUACAUUGUUUCCGAAGUAUGAAACCGUGUAGCAGUUGGGACUAUCAUUUGCAGGAAAUUGUCUGCAGCGAUUUAAAAAUUGGCAAAUUUAGCUUUUGUCGUCAUCAGUUUCCGCGACCGGGACAGCACAAAAUUCAGGUCUUGUAAACAGAAAACUAGGUAUUAGAGAUGUAUUGCAGAUGGUUUGUAACGGUAGACAUACAGGCGUGUUAAUGUUGCAAUAUCUUUAUUUCAGGUGUGUGGUUACAGACUUUUGUGUGAGGUUUUGAAAGUUGGGCAGGCGACUCUAGGCCGAGAAGCUCUGAAAACUGUUUUCUGCCUCCAAAGUACCCACCUGGCUGCUUUUGGAGUAGUUUUACUGCUUGAGCUGCAUCUCGAAUUCCCAUCAACGACCGGCACAUAAACUUACGUGCUGAAAUUACCCUACAGCUUCAACAACAAGAGCUGUCACAGGAGACAGCGCGCUCGGCUAUUUCGAUACUGGAUAGUGAAACUGGGCACAUCUGAGGAAACUAGAGCUGUCACUGGAGUGUUUAAUGACUCCAAUUGUGGAUGAAGAUAUUGCACAAUAGCCUGAGUCUAUGUCAAAAUUAUCAACUUAAAGUAAUAAGAGAGGAAACCAAAGACUGCUUACCUCCCUUGCGUCCGUUUCCAUGGAGAUAUUUGUACAACCGUCGUAUAGAGAUGAAUAUAGCACGUCGUGGCUGCUAACAGGGGUUUCUUCUAAUAUUGCAGCAAAUUCCGAGUCACAGUUCAGUAGGAACAGCUUUACAAAAAAAGUUAUAAUUAUGAUAAAAAACAAUUGAUUAUACAAGUUAAAGCAUAGCGAAAGUUCCUUCUAUGGCACAUUUAUACAAAUAUAUAAUGAUCAUCUUGUAAAAUUUGGGUUGCAAUGUCUGUUUAAAAUAUUGGUCAUCAAGUGCGGAAACCCAGAAUCGGACACAAGGACAAGACUAUUCUACCAUAUUGACAUUCCGUAUCCUCCCGUUUAAUCAGGGAGUCAGUGGCGCAGUGGUUAGCAGUUUGGACUACGCCAGCGAUCCGCGUUCGAUUCCCGGUUGCGGCUGAUAUCCCGACUAGUGUUCAGUGCUGGGUGAUUUACUUUAAUUUGGUACUGUUUCCAACAGUAUCGGUCUAGACUGGAUGCUGGGGAGGUAAAUGACGCCUGCCGUGAGCUCGGCUGGAAAUAAAUUGUUCCAUCAGGUGAGGACUUUCGACAAGAAGAAACUUUACAUACAUUUUAAGCGCACCUGGGGGCGUUACAUUUUGCACAAAGAGUGCGUUUAUUUCUGUACAAAAAAAACCUAUGCUGUUUUAUACUGCCUAAAAAUGUCAAGUAGGUAUUUAUGUAGACAAGCUUACUAUCGCUGAGUGGCUGCUUUUUAAUUUCUGACUUUUGCAGCCACCGCAGUUUGACCGUCACAAUAUAAAACAAACUGUAUACGUCCGUCUAGUAUUUAUAAAUGCCAACAUAAAUUGUUAAAUCCAGCACCAAAGUAAAUACGUUACCACUUUCAGUGGAGUAAAUACGGCAAUAAGAAUAUAAAUAUAAAUAUAUAUAUGAAGAUAUAAAUCUGGUAUAAUAAUCCAGUAUAAUAAUAAUACACUGGCUAUACACAUUUGACCCGGUCAAUCCAAUUCCACAUGUUGCGUGAAUUUGUUAAAUAUAAUUAGAAAGUCGCAAUGGGGUUUGUUUUCACAUAUCGGACCAUGCAUUCGAAAGAAACGAUAAUAUUUAUUUUGUUGUUUACAUGUAAAUUUGCUGAUAUAUGUCUUUCUGUUUGUACACAUGUUAUGCUCUUCAAGAAUGGAGGAAAUAAAAGAAUCAAUCAAUCAUCCUAUGUUAUCCGUGGAACGCAUUCAGUCAGAGUCGCCUCAAUUAGGAAAUAAAAUGUUUAACGUCAGAGAAUAUUUCUAAGGUCAAGGAGUUUGAUUGGCCAGCUCGUAAUGACAACAGAUUUCGAGGUCAUUUGCUCAGUCGAGUGUGACUUACCGGCCCUAAGUAUUCCUUCUCAAGAGAAGGAACAAUAACGUUUUUUAUCAUGGCUUUACGGUAACAAGUACCCGUUGAGUGCAUUUGUACAUCAAUUCACAAUGCCUACUUUUACCAAAAAUUCGAAUUUAAAAUUCUCCCAAUAAAACAGAAAUACAAGAUACAACAGUGAAUUAAGAUUUACUACUUAUAUUGCUACAAUAUAGCUACUUAAGUAACAAAAACACCGUCCCUUGAACAGUAAUUAGUGUUAUUUCCGCUUCUGUUGGGUUUUAAUCCUAGAUCCCUGUCCCUACUAAGCUAUUCUGAUUCAGGAGAAUAAAGAUAUAUCCACAAAGAUAACAUCCGAAGCAAGCCUAUAAUUGGGAUCAAUAUGGUCGCCCUCGCGGCACCUGUAUGGGCUACCAAUAUGGAACCCAGUAUUUGGGCAUGGGUCCCAGUAGUAUAGUAAUUGUUUGUGCGAGCGCAGUUUAAUCUAAUUUAACAUUUAACCCUUGACCUAAACCGAUCAAUGCUGACCAAUUUCAACAAAUUUAAAACAAAUUUUAACAAAUUAUUGUUAAAACCUAUAGUAAAAUAUGAUUAAACACUUCUACCAAAUAUUUGCCAAAAUCCUGCCAAGUGGCAGCAAUGUGACAAUGUCUGCCAACUUGACAAACUUUUGGCAGAAUGUUGGCAAAGUUAUUUAAUGUACUUAAAUUUGAUAAAACAUAUAUAUUUAAAUUUCUGCCAAAUUUCUGCCACGGAGACAACAAUGUGGCAGUGUCUGCCAACUUGGCAGAACUUUGGCAAAACUUUGGCAGAUUAUUUUUAUUAAUAAAAUGUAAUGUAUUUGAUCUUAUUUUGAAUUAGUAAGUAUAUUAUCAGGGUACACAUAGUAAUUAAAACUUUAAAUAAGCUUUUAAUUAACCCUUUAAUCCAAAAGUCUGCUUCUACCAGAGGAUAUAGGUUCAUCCGAUAUGUAGAAUCUAAUGUAACUACCUAUCAAAAGCAUAAAUGUUAAUUCUGUAGAUGCUGAAUCGUCAUACGGGUGAAUAUCAAACAUUGUUCCUUGUUUUAGAUAAAUUUUAAUUUUUUUCUUAUACAUAGAUAUUAACUUAUCAGUGUCAAAGUCCUCAGCUGCCUCAGCUGUUAUAUUUACAUUAUCAAAUAUAUCAAAUAAAACAUCAUCCUGAGGCCUAUCAUUCCGCCACCUAAAUAUAAAAUGUGAUAUUGGGCUUUUAGUCGGUUUAUACGGUUCACCCGGGGAGCUCGCACACUUUAAUAAA